UACGGAGGAUGCGAGCGUUAUCCGGAUUUACUGGGUGUAAAGGGAGCGUAGACGGCAGCGCAAGUCUGGAGUGAAAUCCCAUGGCUUAACCAUGGAACUGCUUUGGAAACUGUGUAACUGGAGUACAGGAGGGGCAGGCGGAAUUCCUGGUGUAGCGGUGAAAUGCGUAGAUAUCAGGAGGAACACCGGCGGCGAAGGCGGCCUGCUGGACUGAAACUGACGUUGAGGCUCGAAAGCGUGGGGAGCAAACAGG
rnacentral:rRNA from 1 species